rnacentral:rRNA from 1 species
UGCAAGUCGUGCGGGCCUUGUUAAAAGCUUGCUUUUAACAAGGCUAGCGGCGGACGGGUGAGUAACACGUGGGCAACCUGCCUGUAAGAUCGGGAUAACGCCGGGAAACCGGGGCUAAUACCGGAUAGUUUUUUUCUCCGCAUGGAGGAAAAAGGAAAGGCGGCUUCGGCUGCCACUUACAGAUGGGCCCGCGGCGCAUUAGCUAGUUGGCGGGGUAAUGGUCCACCAAGGCAACGAUGCGUAGCCGACCUGAGAGGGUGAUCGGCCACAUUGGGACUGAGACACGGCCCAAACUCCUACGGGAGGCAGCAGUAGGGAAUCUUCCGCAAUGGACGAAAGUCUGACGGAGCAACGCCGCGUGAGUGAAGAAGGCCUUCGGGUCGUAAAACUCUGUUGCCGGGGAAGAACAAGUGCCGUUCGAACAGGGCGGCGCCUUGACGGUACCCGGCCAGAAAGCCACGGCUAACUAC